UUCGAUGUUAUACUAAAAGUACUGUAACUUUAAAGGUGAACAACCCUUUAUUAAUGGCCACAGGAAGAGAAGUGCAGGGUUCAGAAAGAAAAGAGGCCUGUUUGCAAAUGUGACAGUGUGUAUGAACCCCAAUUACAUUAUACUUUGAUGCCAGUGUCAAAUACCAGGGAAAAUAUAGCAGAUAUGAAUGUCAGUAGCCUUUUUUACAUAAGGGAAGUUGACCCUUGAUUUUAUCACACUCUCCAUGUGGGAUUUCCAUUUGACCCAAUGCUUUGCCAACACCCAUAGGGGUCUAUUUGGAUGUCCAGCCUGCGCUGCCAUUGGGUACACCGUGCUGUACAACUACAUCUAUGAGCCUGCUAAACCUGAGCACAUGUCCGUGUAAGAAACAGCAGCAAUUACUUCCUCCACAGCACUUUGUGCCUAUUAAGGCGCCACUUCCCACAACCUCCCAUCACGUCACAGCUUUGUUCAAACUUGUUGCGCGAGCUCUGACUUCCCUUAAGCCGAAAAUGCGCAUGUGCGAGGAGGCCUGCGUUGCUGAGUAAAUCGUUUCCUGGGGGGCGAGCCAUAGUUGUGAGGCAAUUUCCGGCGGUUCGGGUAUAUAAUGAUCAGAUUGCCUCCUCAUUCAUUCUCUUUGUACGUCGACGUGGUUGGAGAUGGUUCUGUGUGUGACUUGUCUGACAGCAAACGGAUGCCUUCCAGAAAAUAUGUCUAUGCUUAUUAGUGACUGCGGUGUCAUGAGACUACUUGAAGGAUGCAUUGGAAUAUACUUCUGAAGCAGACCUACAGCACAAGGAAUAGCCAGCACAGGGAAAAAGCUGUAGAUAAGAUGUGAAGACUUGAUGAAUGGAAUGUCUUAAGCUUCUCUAGAUUGCAAUGCAAGAAUGGAAUGGAGGUAAUGGUAACUUUCAUUUCAAGGCCUAAAGCAAAAGCUGUUACAGCCACAGUUCUCUCGUGUAUCUGUUGUACUGAUCAAAACAAGCAGCAGCUUCUGUUUGCAUACAUUUGAUAAACCUUAUUGUGAUUACAUGUAUUUAGAACAGGCCAAAAUGCGGCCCAGGGGCCAAUUGUGGCCCUUUUUCAAAUUUACACCGGCCCUCGGCCUCCAUGAAAUUAAUAGUAAUGAGGCCCCCAGCACAGUGCGAUCAGGAAUCCCAUAGCGGUAAUAAGGCACAUUAGUGAAAUGAUCUGCCACUUGAUCUAUACAAAACAAUGGUAGUGCUUCCACCCCUGAUCAUAUACCCUUUGUGGUACCAGGUGCUACACUGGGCGACCCACUCCUGCCAUAUGGGUCAUACAGGUACAUAGAGAGAUUCCAGUGGCACACUGAAUGUUGAAAGUGUAAAAUUCACCCCAAACACAUAAAGAAAGGCAAUGUGACAGACCACUCGGGCCCUUUAUCAAGCCUGGUGCAACAAUCAUGUAAUCCACAUUAAAGUGUGAGGAAGGGGUGUGGAUAAAGUCUCCUCCCCUUACUCGGUGACAUCACAACCUAAGUGAUUGUGUUUAAGUGCGAUCAAAGACCAUGAAGUGUCAAAGUCCAAAAUCCAGUGUGACCAUAAAGAGUCCUUGGUGAUCCUCAAAUUAACAAUCAAAAUUGGUAUUGUACAAGAGGAUCUAUAGUGCUGCCUUGUGCUGAAGUUGUUGGCAAUAGACACAGAUUGGCACGUAAAGAUGCACUGUUUUCACAUACUUUAGGGCUGGAUGUGUCAGACGUACUGACAUGCCAGUACAGUAAACUAAAAGUAUGGCGUAGCUAUGUUCCAGUAUGUGUCUAUUGCUAACACAGUAUAGACAAAGUGGCAGAUCAUUUCACUAAUGUGCCCAAAUAUUACGGCUACGUGAUUCCUGUAAUUUAAUAGUUCACAGAAUGUUGGGCUGAAUGGUUGCCAAAUCUGGCCCUCGUUGCAAAAACCUUAUUUAGAGCACCAACAUAGAGUAUUCUUCAGUAUGGUAGCUUAAUAUUGGUAGGUGGAUAUCCCUCAGGUGUCCUUUGCCUCUUCAAAUUUCCUGAAUAGAAGCAGCUGUUUAUAGGGAAAUGGAUUGUGGGUUUGGCUUUUCCUGUAACUGCUAAUCUGAUCAGGGUUUGUAAUGAUGUUUCAAAUGUCUGACCUGAAGUAAAUGUGUGGAGAGUGUUAUCACUGAACUGACCCUGUUAACAGUUAAAAUUGCAGUUGACAUUUGGACUGUUGAGUCUAAUUCUGACUUUCUGUUCUAGGUCUGCACAACACUAUGUAUUGGUGAGUUGCAAAAGUGAAAUAUUUGUUUGCAUAAAAGCAGUAACUGUAGACCUUGGUAAAGUGGAUAUAUUUCAAUUCUGCAGUAAAUCUCUCAACCAUAUGCAAUUUACAGAAGAAACUCCUACAAUGGUUUGCACAGUAAAGGCUUUCUAACCUAGACUUCUACCUCCUAAAGCAUAGCCAAUAAAGACUGCUGGUAACCUGUGAUGAAAAUGAUUCUGCCAAAUGAUAAACAUGAUUUAUCCCUAACCGUUCCAUUUUUUUCUGAGAGCCAGCUUAAGUCUUGUCAACACUAGUUCCAUUUGUGGAUACUGAAUUAACUAAUGGGCAAGCCAGGCAUAACACUCUUGAAUUUAUGCCAAUUUAUGAAACUAUCUUUAAAUUUGUCAGUUUACCUGUUCUUGGAAGUAACCCUGACUUGUGCCUAAAACUAACUUAAACAUGCUGCAUUAAAAUGCAUAGAAUUCUCAAGCAAAAUCCUUCUAGCUGUAGCAGAGCAAGAGCUGCACUUGUGUUAUCUGACAUGCAGUGACCCUCAUUGAGUAGACAGUCCUAUGCGCAAAAUCCAGCCUCCUUGUUCCUUAUGUCCUAAUGCUGUUUAAUGUUGUAGGCUUGUAUGUCCUAAUGCUGCUGCUUUUUCCAUUAGUGUUUGGCUUCUGUUCAGCAAUUCAUCUGCAGCCACAGCAUAUUUGGUGAGUAACUACAAACCUACACCUUUUCUAAACCAGUGAUGCUUCAGAGUAGUGGACAGGUGUGAUUCCUGACAGCUUGUAAAACUGAGGCUUACAUGUAUUCUAACUUGUGCUGUUUCUGAGAAGCAUUAUUGGUAUAGAAACUUAACUACAUCUGAAGCAUUACUAUUUUUCUCUUCCAGAGUGCAUCAAUGAAUAACUCCUAAUGGAAUGUACUAUGAAGUCUUAAGUCUGGCUCCGCAAUUGCUUUCUUGUGGAAAUAAGGUGCAACACAACUGUGCCACUGGCAAGGCAUGACCACUGCUAAAUGACUUGGAUCUGCUACUGCCAAAUUAAGCCUAUGCUACAGCUGAGAAAAAAUGAGCAACUUGGAUUGUUCUAGAAACUAGUUACAUCACUAACUGAAAAAUGUUGUAAAUAAAGAGCUCCAAUUUGUUUAAUGGAAACAUGUACAAAUAAACUUUAAAGCUU